CUGUGAUCCAUUCAUUCAUAGCUCCAAUAACACGUUCCUCAGAAGGAUUAGUGAUCUUUUCUGGAGUUGGUUUUUUAGGAGCUUGUUGGACAUUGGGUUUAUGAAUGAAAGUGUAGAUAUUCAAAAUUUAUAUUGUUUUUGUUUUAUUUUCUUUCAUUGUGAAUAGGUAACGGUUUAUAAAAAUCUUUGAAAAACAAAGCAAAUGAAAGCGUUUAUGAGAAGCUCCUGAUUCUUUGGUGAUUUUUUUUAAUUGUGUAAUCAAAGGUUUAAUAAUUUAUGAGCAACAAACUCAAUUAAUCAAUGCGAAAUUCUACUUAUUCCUGAUCUGAGUGCUGACAACGAUGAAUUCUUUUGAUAAAUUGAUUUUAUUGAUCAUUGUUCUGAUUCAUUUGAGAAUCCACUGUGUUUUAUCGGUUAAGAAGCGAUGUGGCAGAAAUAAAUUCCAGUGUGAUAAUGGGGAAUGUACUGCAAUAACAAAAAUGUGCGAUGGAGAAAAUGAUUGCGAAGAUCGGUCAGACGAAACACACUGCAUGGAUGAAGACUUUCCAAAAUGUCCAAGUCGUUAUUUCCAGUGUAUCUCAGACAGGCGUUGCAUCGAGAAAACAUGGCGCUGCGACGGGGAACAGGACUGUAGUGAUGGAUCUGACGAACGGUAUUGCGUUUCAGCCUGUAAAAGACAUGACCUGGAGUUUGAGUGUUUAAAUAAUAAACAGUGCAUUCCCAUGACGAAACGCUGCGACGGGCAAAUGGAUUGUGAGGAUGGUUCCGACGAGCGGAGUUGUAAAUACUUCGCUAAAGAAUGCGACAACCUGCACUUUCCUUGUGAAGAAAACCCACGCUGCAUUCACAGAGAAUGGUUGUGCAACAGUAUAAACAAUUGCGAUAACGGCUCUGACGAAAAGCACUGUAAUUCAACCACAAUAAAUCCUACAAUGACGGAACCGUCAUGCCCAGACAACUACUGCAUGCACAAUGGAGACUGCGUCGUCAUCGAUGGUGAAUACACUUGUAACUGCUCUUCACCUUUCACGGGGGAGAAGUGCGAAAGGGGUCUCUCUGCUAAACUGGAAUUCCAUGUUCUAGGAAUGGUUAUAGGCAUGUCUCUGGCUUUAUUCAUCGUGCUUUUUUAAAAGAUGGUCGUUCUCUGCUAAAUCGCUGACGUUCUCUCCUGUUUUAACUGUAGAAAAAGAUCUGUCAGGCGAUCAACUGUUUUGAUGUCAAAAAACGAAAGCCAAAUGCCAAUCUCUUCGUAAAAGUUACAAAAUUUGGAAGUGAACUCUAUAUGGUAAAUCGAUAUCGAAAGAAAACAAUUUAAUUUCCCAUUUCAGUCAUGCAAUCACAUCUUUUUCUAUAUUCUUUGAAAAAACAGCAAUUAGACAAAAAUAAACAUAUUUCAGUUUUUUA